UGGGGAAUAUUGCACAAUGGGGGAAACCCUGAUGCAGCGACGCCGCGUGGAGGAAGAAGGUCUUCGGAUUGUAAACUCCUGUUGUUGGGGAAGAUAAUGACGGUACCCAACAAGGAAGUGACGGCUAACUACGUGCCAGCAGCCGCGGUAAAACGUAGGUCACAAGCGUUGUCCGGAAUUACUGGGUGUAAAGGGAGCGCAGGCGGGAAGACAAGUUGGAAGUGAAAUCUAUGGGCUCAACCCAUAAACUGCUUUCAAAACUGUUUUUCUUGAGUAGUGCAGAGGUAGGCGGAAUUCCCGGUGUAGCGGUGGAAUGCGUAGAUAUCGGGAGGAACACCAGUGGCGAAGGCGGCCUACUGGGCACCAACUGACGCUGAGGCUCGAAAGUGUGGGUAGCAAACAGGAUUAGAUACCCUGGUAGUCCACACCGUAAACGAUGAUUACUAGGUGUUGGAGGAUUGACCCCUUCAGUGCCGCAGUUAACACAAUAAGUAAUCCACCUGGGGAGUACGACCGCAAGGUUGAAACUCAAAGGAAUUGACGGGGGCCCGCACAAGCAGUGGAGUAUGUGGUUUAAUUCGACGCAACGCGAAGAACCUUACCAAGUCUUGACAUCCCUUGACAGGCAUAGAAAUACGUUCUUCCUUCGGGACACAGAGACAGGUGGUGCAUGGUUGUCGUCAGCUCGUGUCGUGAGAUGUUGGGUUAAGUCCCGCAACGAGCGCAACCCUUAUUGCCAGUUACUACGUUAAGAGGACUCUGGCGAGACUGCCGUUGACAAAACGGAGGAAGGUGGGGAUGACGUCAAAUCAUCAUGCCCUUUAUGACCUGGGCUACACACGUACUACAAUGGCGUUAAACAAAGAGAAGCAAGACCGCGAGGUGGAGCAAAACUCAAAAACAACGUCUCAGUUCAGAUUGCAGGCUGCAACUCGCCUGCAUGAAGUCGGAAUUGCUAGUAAUCGCGGAUCAGCAUGCCGCGGUGAAUACGUUCCC
rnacentral:rRNA from 1 species